rnacentral:rRNA from 1 species
UACGUAGGGGGCAAGCGUUGUCCGGAUUUAUUGGGCGUAAAGAGCGUGUAGGCGGCCAUGCAGGUCAGCUGUGAAAACUCGAGGCUCAACCUCGAGACGUCGGUUGAAACCGUAUGGCUAGAGUCCGGAAGAGGAGAGUGGAAUUCCCGGUGUAGCGGUGAAAUGCGCAGAUAUCGGGAAGAACACCCGUGGCGAAGGCGACUUCCUGGCCUGUUCUUGACGCUGAGGCGCGAAAGCGUGGGGAGCGAACAGG